GCUCCCAUUUCAGAUAAUCAAUGUUUUCAAACUAUUUGUACUUAGAUGCAUGAAUGUGCAUUCUGACUUAUGAAAAUCAAAGUACUCAGUCUUUUUAGAUUCACGUUUUUUACAAACUUUACUUUAUUCUAGAGUUCUAGAACUGAAUGAUUACUAAUUUAGACUGGCGCUUCUGUUUGUGAUUUAGGUCUAGAGACUCAAAAAAUCCUGAAGUCACGGAAAAGUGAAAGCUUAUUGUCCACGAAAAUGACAAGACAUGAGAGUCAUUUUGAUAGCACCUAAACGGACAUGAUUGAGUUAUGGAUGUGGAUUAAAACUGGAAGAGGUGGCAUAUGAUAGUGACUCAUUAAAGAGAAACAGUCCAGUUUCAGUGCAGGAUCUGAACUGUUAGGGAAAUAAUGGGCCUUGGUAGCUGAUGACAGGAGAAUGAGGGAGAGAGGUGUUAUCAAGGGAAGAGACAGAGAGGAAGAGGCAAUAACCCUCAAGACUGGAUGCUGACCGUCUCUGGUAACCAACAAAAGGCACACAUAAACAAAAGAGAGGUGAGUGACGAUGUCUAGUGUGUCGGGGAUCAAGAAAUACCGGCUGGUUGCGGCAGCGCGGCCGCCGGUCAGAGUGGUAACCGGGGAUCUGAGCUCGGCGGUGACGCGCGGCCCUCACGUGACCAGAGCCCGUGUCUGCCCAAGUCCUUCUCGUCCUGGUCCUUUUUGCCUGUCCAGACACCAUAUGCCUAUCGCCCUUUGGACGAGGGGAAAAGCAGAAGAAAUCUGCAGCUCCGCAGGUCACAGCGGGGCACCUGGAGGAGAGGCCGCCUCGGAACCAGCCGCCGGGAGAGGUCCAGAUAGGGGAAGGGGUGGGCAGCGGGCCGGGAUGGGGUGCGAAGGAGGUUGCUGGAGGGAGCCGGGUCCACGGCACCGCCGGCCCGCUCCGCCCCGGUCCCUGCGGGAGAGGCCUGUGUGGCAAGGCCUGCCGGGAAGAUGGUGGGCUUUCGGAAGGAGGGGGCGACAAGGUGGCGGGGGUUGAGAGGGGAGCCAGACGCGGCGGGCUCCCGGGGGGCGGAGCGCCACUCCCGCACGGG
rnacentral:lncRNA from 1 species